rnacentral:misc_RNA from 1 species
UUUCCGUAGGUGAACCUGCGGAAGGAUCAUUACUGAGUGAGGGCCCCUAGGGGUCCAACCUCCCACCCGUGUUUAACGAACCUUGUUGCUUCGGCGGGCCCGCCUCACGGCCGCCGGGGGGCAUCUGCCCCCGGGCCCGCGCCCGCCGAAGCCACCUGUGAACGCUGUCUGAAGUAUGCAGUCUGAGACAAUUAUUAAAUUAAUUAAACUUUCAACAACGGAUCUCUUGGUUCCG